rnacentral:rRNA from 1 species
UACGUAGGGUGCAAGCGUUUGUCCGGAAUUAUUGGGCGUAAAGAGCUCGUAGGCGGUUUGUCGCGUCUGCUGUGAAAACCCGAGGCUCAACCUCGGGCCUGCAGUGGGUACGGGCAGACUAGAGUGCGGUAGGGGAGAUUGGAAUUCCUGGUGUAGCGGUGGAAUGCGCAGAUAUCAGGAGGAACACCGAUGGCGAAGGCAGAUCUCUGGGCCGUAACUGACGCUGAGGAGCGAAAGGCAUGGGGAGCGAACAGG